CGAAGGGAGCGAGCGUUGUUCGGAAUCACUGGGCUUAAAGCGUGCGUAGGCGGGCAGGAAAGUCAGAAGUGAAAGCCCCGGGCUUAACCCGGGAACUGCUUUUGAAACUUCCUGUCUAGAAACCGAGAGAGGUUAGCGGAAUAUCCAGUGUAGAGGUGAAAUUCGCAGAUAUUGGAUGGAACACCAGUGGCGAAGGCGGCUAACUGGCUCGGUAUUGACGCUGAGGCACGAAAGCGUGGGUAGCAAACAGGAUUAGAUACCCUGGUAGUCCACGCCAUAAACCAUGUGUGCUAGCUGUUGGUGUCCUUAGGGCAUCGGCGGCGGAGAGAAAUCAUUAAGCGCACCGCCUGGGGUGUACGGCCGCAAGGUUA
rnacentral:rRNA from 1 species